CAGUAGCCACGGGAAAACGGAGGGUGCAAGCGUUAAUCGGAAUUACUGGGCGAAAAGCGUGCGUAGGUGGUGGUUUAAGUCCGUUGUGAAAGCCCUGGGCUCAACCUGGGAAUUGCAGUGGAUACUGGGUCACUAGAGUGUGGUAGAGGAUAGUGGAAUUUCCGGUGUAGCAGUGAAAUGCGUAGAGAUCGGAAGGAACAUCUGUGGCGAAGGCGACUAUCUGGGCCAACACUGACACUGAGGCACGAAAGCGUGGGGAGCAAACAGGAUUAGAGACCCCUGUAGUCCCUGUCUCUUAUAA
rnacentral:rRNA from 1 species